CCGCCGCGGUAAGACGUAGGACGCGAGCGUUAUCCGGAUUUACUGGGCGUAAAGCGCCUGCAGGCGGUCAGGUAAGUCGGUUGUGAAAGCCCCGUGCUCAACGCGGGGAGGCCAAGCGAUACUGCGUGACUUGAGGGCGGAAGAGGGGAGUGGAAUUCCCGGUGUAGCGGUAAAAUGCGCAGAUAUCGGGAGGAACACCAGUGGCGAAGGCGGCUCCCUGGACCGCACCUGACGCUCAGAGGCGAAAGCUAGGGGAGCGAACAGGAUUAGAGACCCUGGUAGUCCUAGCCCUAAACGCUGGAUGCUAGGUGUAGGGCUGAUGAGGCUCUGUGCCGGAGCGAACGCGAUAAGCAUCCCGCCUGGGAACUACGGCCGCAAGGCUAAAACUCAAACGAAUUGACGGGGACCCGCACAAGCAGCGGAGCGUGUGGUUUAAUUCGAUGCUACACGAAGAACCUUACCUGGGUUUGACAUGCUGGUGGUACCGAACCGAAAGGGGAGGGACCCUUCGGGGAGCCAACACAGGUGCUGCAUGGCUGUCGUCAGCUCGUGCCGUGAGGUGUCGGGUUAAGUCCCGUAACGAGCGCAACCCUUGCUCUUAGUUAUACGUGUCUAAGGGGACUGCCGGCGACAAGCCGGAGGAAGGUGGGGAUGACGUCAAGUCAGCAUGGCCUUGAUAUCCAGGGCUACACACACGCUACAAUGGCCGGUACAAAGGGCAGCCAAGCCGCGAGGUGGAGCGAAUCCCAGCAAAGCCGGUCCCAGUUCGGAUUGCAGGCUGCAACCCGCCUGCAUGAAGUUGGAGUUGCUAGUAACCGCGCGUCAGCCAUAGUGCGGUGAAUACGUACCCGGGUCUUGUA
rnacentral:rRNA from 1 species